GGAGGGGGGCUGACAGGAAGUCAGGAGACAAGCUCGCCAGCCCUGGUCCCGCUACUUGCUGGUUCUGGAGACUCACAAAGUGAUCCUCCUGUAUCUUGACUGCUUGUCGGGGUCAUAAGGGGCUAAACUCACUGCUCAGGGCUGUAACUUUCUACCAGCUUGAGGUCUGGGAGCAGAGCCCCAAGGCAGUAUCCAAAAGGAAGCCACCUGUUAAGAUGUAGGUGUCUCAAGAUGCAGGAGGCCUGUAGUCUCGAAACAUUGGCCACAAGACAGUCGCCCUGGUGGCCAGUCCUGCAAGACUCUGCUUCCAGGAAGGCCCAGACUCCUAGUUAAGGGCAGAGUACUGCACUGGGAAUUGGAAGGAAGACGGAAGGGCCAGAGAGAGAAGAGGAUGAAAUCGCCACCUCCGAGAAGUGUGUUGUGCAUUAUGGGAGACAAAACACGUACGUAGGCCACUCAAAUGCAGACGCACUGUGUUAUCUCCUGUAACAACAGCCAGACAGCUUCAGAGGAGACAGGUGUUUGAGGUGGGGUUGAAGUAGGGGCAGGUAAGAGAAAGUCUCAACACAAUAACAACACUAAUGGGUGUUGAGAUUUGAACAGGAUUUUGACCAGGAAGACCAAGCAAUUGCUCAAGCAAAGGCCCAGAAGCGAGCAAGCAUGAAGGUUAUUCAAGUGCAUGGAAUAGCCGGGUCUGGCUGAUACCGGAGACCCUUGAAGGUGAUCCAGGGGAGACGAGGUUACUUUCAAGGAUAGACAGAGGGGAGCAUCUCAGCUGCUUCAAGGAUUAACUGCUGCAGGUUUGCCCAGGAGGAACCCACAAAAGAACAUUGUGAAGGAGGCACCAGGAUGUGGAUGCUACAGUAGCCUCAGGCCAUCUGCAAGGGGCAGAAUCUUACCAUACCUAAAAAGCCCCUGAGGACAUCUGUGGCUUUAGCUUUAUAAAAUAACAUAAAUAGCUUUAUGUGCCUUAGUCACAGGAAAAAUUUAAAGGGUUGGAGAGGAGGAUUGGACAAGUGUAGCUGGUAGGUACAGACUUCUAGUUAUAAAAUAAGUCAUGGGGAUGUAAUGUACAGCAUGAUGACCAGGAUUCAUAAUACUCUGUUGCAUAUUUAAAAGUUGCUAAGCGGGCAAAUCUUAAAAGCUCUUAUCACACACAAAAAAUUGUAACUUUGUAAGAUGACAAAUGUUAACUAGACGUAUUGCUGUGAUUAUUUUGUAAUAUGUACAAAUAUCAUAUCAUUGGGUCAUGUAC